UACGUAGGGGGCAAGCGUUGUCCGGACUUACUGGGCGUAAAGCGCGUGCAGGCGGAUGAGUAUGUGCCGUGUGAAAGCUCUCGGCUUGCCCGGGAGAGGUCGCGGUAGACAGCCCAUCUGGAGGCUCGGAGAGGUCAGUGGAAUUCCCGGUGUAGUGGUGAAAUGCGUAGAUAUCGGGAGGAACACCAGUGGCGCAAGCGGCUGGCUGGCCGAGACCUGACGCUGAGACGCGACGGCGUGGGGAGCAAACCGG
rnacentral:rRNA from 1 species